rnacentral:rRNA from 1 species
AAUUUUGGACAAGGGGGGGAACCCUGAUCCAGCCAUCCCUCGUGUUCGAUGAAGGCCUUCGGGUUGUAAAUCAUUUUUGGCAGGGAAGAAAAGGCUCUGGUUAAUACCCGCAGCUGCUGACGGUACCUGCAGAAUUAGCACCGGCUAACUACGUGCCAGCAGCCGCGGUAAUACGUAGGGUGCAAGCGUUAAUCGGAAUUCCUGGGCGUAAAGCGUGCGCAGGCGGUUUGGCAAGAAGGAUGUGAAAUCCCAGGGCUUAACCUUGGAACUGCAUUCUUAACUGACAGGCUAGAGUAUGUCAGAGGGGGGUAGAAUUCCGCGUGUAGCAGUGAAAUGCGUAGAGAUGCGGAGGAAUACCGAUGGCGAAGGCAGCCCCCUGGGAUAAUACUGACGCUCAGACACGAAAGCGUGGGGAGCAAAC